UCAGGUGAGACCCUCAAGCUUGGAAAGUGUCAGGAGGGGUCUAUGAUGUGACUGGGCAUUCCAUUCUCGCAGAACCACCCAGGCUCUUGUCCUUUUUGAGGUCAGUGGCUGCUCAGGGCCUCUCAGUGGCCAGAGGCUGGCACAAUCAGCUGCAUGGGUGUUGGAGUCAUGAAGACCCAAGUUCUCAGACACACUCUUGAGUGUCACGGCUUUGCUCAGCUGGAUGGGCACUCGGGGAACCACCCUGCAACCCUUUCUGGGAGGGCUGAGUCUGGCCCAGAGGAUUGUCCCUCACACUCAAGAUCGGGAGGCUCCUCCUCCUCCUCCUCUUCAUCUUCCACCUCCUCUUCUGCACCUGGCUUGUCCAGCGGCGCCUCACCAUCCCGGGCC